CUCAACUUGUCUUUCAGUAGUAACAGGAUCUUCUACACUGUAGCUGCUUCCAGUGUGAGCCAGACAAAUGUACUGAAUAUAGGCCUCAGAGGUGAUCCCACCACCUUCACAGCAAUGGUCCUUCCCCAGGAGCUUCCCCUGAGAAACGGGCCAUCCAGACCAUACUGCUGCUGAAUAAUGUCUCAUUGGAAAUCUCAACAUUCU
rnacentral:lncRNA from 1 species